GUUAAAACGCCCGUAGUUGGAUCAGCGGAUUUGGAGAACGGUCUGCCGAUGGGCUGUACUGUUCUCCUGUCCUAUUUUCUCUAGUUCGCUCUAGGUGCUCUUCACUGAGUGUCUAGAGUGGCUGGAACUUUUACUUUGAAAAAAUUAGAGUGCUCAAAGCAGGCGUCUCAGCCUGAAUAGUGGUGCAUGGAAUAAUGGAAUAGGACCUCAGUUCUAUUUUGUUGGUUUUCGGAACAUGAGGUAAUGAUUAAGAGGGACAGACGGGGGCAUUCGUAUUGCGACGUUAGAGGUGAAAUUCUUGGAUCGCCGCAAGACGAACUACUGCGAAAGCAUUUGCCAAGAAUGUUUUCAUUAAUCAAGGACGAUAGUUAGAGGUUCGAAGGCGAUCAGAUACCGCCCUAGUUCUAACCGUAAACGAUGUCAACCAGCGAUCCGCAGGAGUUAUUCAUGACUCUGCGGGCAGCUUCCGGGAAACCAAAGUUUUUGGAUUCCGGGGGGAGUAUGGUUGCAAAGCUGAAACUUAAAGGAAUUGACGGAAGGGCACCACCAGGAGUGGAGCCUGCGGCUUAAUUUGACUCAACGCGGGGAAACUCACCCGGCCCGGACACCGUAAGGAUUGACAGAUUGAGAGCUCUUUCUUGAUUCGGUGGGUGGUGGUGCAUGGCCGUUCUUAGUUGGUGGAGCGAUUUGUCUGGUUAAUUCCGAUAACGAACGAGACUCUAGCCUACUAAAUAGAAGGCAAAUUAUUCGUUUGCU
rnacentral:rRNA from 1 species